AUUGAACGCUGGCGGCAUGCUUUACACAUGCAAGUCGAACGGCAGCGCGGGCUUCGGCCUGGCGGCGAGUGGCGAACGGGUGAGUAAUACAUCGGAACGUGCCCAGUAGUGGGGGAUAGCUCGGCGAAAGCCGGAUUAAUACCGCAUACGACCUGAUGUUGAAAGCGGGGGAUCUUCGGACCUCGCGCUAUUGGAGCGGCCGAUGGCAGAUUAGCUAGUUGGUGGGGUAAAGGCCUACCAAGGCGACGAUCUGUAGCUGGUCUGAGAGGACGACCAGCCACACUGGGACUGAGACACGGCCCAGACUCCUACGGGAGGAAGCAGUGGGGAAUUUUGGACAAUGGGCGAAAGCCUGAUCCAGCAAUGCCGCGUGUGUGAUGAAGGCCUUCGGGUUGUAAAGCACUUUUGGCGGGAACGAAAAGGACUGUGCCAAUACCACGGUUCGAUGACGGUACCCGCAGAAUAAGCACCGGCUAACUACGUG
rnacentral:rRNA from 1 species